CAGCACUUGAGUUCAAGUGCAGGCUCGUUUCACAAAACAGCAGCACAAAAGAUUGCUAAAUAGUUUCCCAAGAGAUUUCAUUUUCCCGCUUCUCCACUUCCCCUUCUCUGGUUUCUAACAAGGCCGCCAAACUCAAAAUUCACAGCACACACCACGACAAGCCGCGCCGCCGCUGCUCUUCCUCUUCCUGCGGCGUCGCCGUUCCUGUUCCCCCACCGCCGAACUCUUCCUGUUCCUCUUCCUCUUCCUCUUCACGACAUUUUUACCAACCUUCAGUUCUUUUGUCCUCCUCGAGGAUGCCUCACUUUCACGCCGCUCAAUCUUCUGCCUAAAUUUGUAACCUAGUUCUAUCUUAUUCAUCAAUAAACGGUUGAAUCUUCCAUCCAAUCUGUAUUUUGGAAAGUCGAAAUUUAAUUUUUGUUUCUCCAAACCCUGGAAAAUGUCGGGUUGCUUUUUCCGGGGUGGUUGUGUGCAGGUUCUGCUUCUGGUUGCAGGUGCUCUUGGCUGCUGCAUCUGGCUUCUACUGCUUCUUUGAUAUUGCAGUCUGGUUUGCGGACCUCCUGCGUGUAGUCUAGGGUGUAGACUCGUUUUGUGUACAAGCUGGUGCCGGGUGGAAGAGCUGCUGCAGUUGUGAAUAAAAUGCUUCAAAAAAAGGAAUUGCUGGAGCUAAGUGAAGGAUAUUCUCGAAUCACUAUCUGCCCAAGUGAGAGCGAUUUAGAAGAUGCUCGAUUUGUAUUUGAGUAUACAAGUAAAACAGAUCCCCAAGCUUCUAUUGCACAAAUUUUUUCCAAUGUUCGAUAUUCUAUUUGGAUUGAUGGAAAACUUAAGUUCGUACGGGAUCCUUACCAAGUUCUUGAAAGGUACUCAAAAAUUCGAGGGAGGAGCCUUUCACGAUUGAAGAGAUAAAUGAAGUUCGAGAAAAGUUGGCAAACUUCAUUUCUAGUGAUUGUCUUUGAUAUUUUCUUGUAGUGAAUUUUAGUAUUGUUUUUUAUAUUUCCUUGUAAUGAAUUUUAGGUUACGGAUGCUAGUUUUUUAUGACUGUUAUGUAAUCGAGUUUUCAACUGUACAAUUUAAUUAUCUAUAUAAUUGGGUACUUU